rnacentral:rRNA from 1 species
AGAGUUUGAUCCUGGCUCAGAUUGAACGCUGGCGGCAGGCCUAACACAUGCAAGUCGAGCGGUAGCACAGAGAGCUUGCUCUCGGGUGACGAGCGGCGGACGGGUGAGUAAUGUCUGGGAAACUGCCUGAUGGAGGGGGAUAACUACUGGAAACGGUAGCUAAUACCGCAUAAUGUCGCAAGACCAAAGUGGGGGACCUUCGGGCCUCAUGCCAUCAGAUGUGCCCAGAUGGGAUUAGCUAGUAGGUGGGGUAACGGCUCACCUAGGCGACGAUCCCUAGCUGGUCUGAGAGGAUGACCAGCCACACUGGAACUGAGACACGGUCCAGACUCCUACGGGAGGCAGCAGUGGGGAAUAUUGCACAAUGGGCGCAAGCCUGAUGCAGCCAUGCCGCGUGUGUGAAGAAGGCCUUCGGGUUGUAAAGCACUUUCAGCGGGGAGGAAGGCGAUAAGGUUAAUAACCUUGUCGAUUGACGUUACCCGCAGAAGAAGCACCGGCUAACUCCGUGCCAGCAGCCGCGGUAAUACGGAGGGUGCAAGCGUUAAUCGGAAUUACUGGGCGUAAAGCGCACGCAGGCGGUCUGUCAAGUCGGAUGUGAAAUCCCCGGGCUCAACCUGGGAACUGCAUUCGAAACUGGCAGGCUAGAGUCUUGUAGAGGGGGGUAGAAUUUCCAGGUGUAGCGGUGAAAUGCGUAGAGAUCUGGAGGAAUACCGGUGGCGAAGGCGGCCCCCUGGACAAAGACUGACGCUCAGGUGCGAAAGCGUGGGGAGCAAACAGGAUUAGAUACCCUGGUAGUCCACGCCGUAAACGAUGUCGAUUUGGAGGUUGUGCCCUUGAGGCGUGGCUUCCGGAGCUAACGCGUUAAAUCGACCGCCUGGGGAGUACGGCCGCAAGGUUAAAACUCAAAUGAAUUGACGGGGGCCCGCACAAGCGGUGGAGCAUGUGGUUUAAUUCGAUGCAACGCGAAGAACCUUACCUGGUCUUGACAUCCACAGAACUUAGCAGAGAUGCUUUGGUGCCUUCGGGAACUGUGAGACAGGUGCUGCAUGGCUGUCGUCAGCUCGUGUUGUGAAAUGUUGGGUUAAGUCCCGCAACGAGCGCAACCCUUAUCCUUUGUUGCCAGCGGUUAGGCCGGGAACUCAAAGGAGACUGCCAGUGAUAAACUGGAGGAAGGUGGGGAUGACGUCAAGUCAUCAUGGCCCUUACGACCAGGGCUACACACGUGCUACAAUGGCAUAUACAAAGAGAAGCGACCUCGCGAGAGCAAGCGGACCUCAUAAAGUAUGUCGUAGUCCGGAUUGGAGUCUGCAACUCGACUCCAUGAAGUCGGAAUCGCUAGUAAUCGUAGAUCAGAAUGCUACGGUGAAUACGUUCCCGGGCCUUGUACACACCGCCCGUCACACCAUGGGAGUGGGUUGCAAAAGAAGUAGGUAGCUUAACCUUCGGGAGGGCGCUUACCACUUUGUGAUUCAUGACUGGGGUGAAGUCGUAACAAGGUAACC